CAGCACACCGUUCAGGUAGUAGAACUGUCGCCCUGUACACCGUCCCCAGCACACCGUUCAGGUAGUAGAACUGUCACCCUGUACACCGUCCUCAGCACACCGUUCAGGUAGUAGAACUGUCACCCUGUACACCGUCCUCAGCACACCGUUCAGGUAGUAGAACUGUCACCCUGUACACCGUCCUCAGCACACCGUUCAGGUAGUAGAACUGUCACCCUGUACACCGUCCUCAGCACACCGUUCAGGUAGUAGAACUGUCACCCUGUACACACUCUGUGUACUGAUGCAGUACUGAGAGUUUGGAUGAAGGUUCAGACACACCAGCUGAUUAGAUUCUGUCCUGCUGUGAAGGUUGAAGUUUUUUGGUUCUUUC